UGUCGAUUAAGCCAUGCGAGUUAAAUGUUCUUCGUGAACAUAGCAGACUGCUCAGUAACACGUGGAUAACCUGCCCUUAGGACUGGCAUAACCCCGGGAAACUGGGGAUAAUUCCGGAUAGAUCAUAAAUGCUGGAAUGCUUUAUGAUUGAAAGGUUUCGACCGCCUUAGGAUGGAUCUGCGGCCUAUCAGGUUGUAGUGGGUGUAAUGUACCUACUAGCCUACGACGGGUACGGGUUGUGGAAGCAAGAGCCCGGAGAUGGAUUCUGAGACAUGAAUCCAGGCCCUACGGGGCGCAGCAGGCGCGAAAACUUUACAAUGCGGGAAACCGUGAUAAGGGAACACUGAGUGCUAGCAUUUAUGUUAGCUGUCCACAUGUGUAAAUAGCAUGUGAUAGCAAGGGCUGGGCAAGACCGGUGCCAGCCGCCGCGGUAACACCGGCAGCCCGAGUGGUGAUCACUAUUAUUGGGUCUAAAGGGUCCGUAGCCGGUUUAAUCAGUCUUCUGGGAAAUCUAAUCGCUUAACUAUUAGGCUUCCAGGGGAUACUGUUAGACUUGGGACCGGGAGAGGUAAGAGGUACUGCAGGGGUAGGAGUGAAAUCUUGUAAUCCCUGUGAGACCACCAGUGGCGAAGGCGUCUUACCAGAACGGGUCCGACGGUGAGGGACGAAAGCUGGGGGCACGAACCGGAUUAGAUACCCGGGUAGUCCCAGCUGUAAACGAUGCUCGUUAGGUGUCAGGAACGGUGCGACUGUUUCUGGUGCCGAAGGGAAGCCGUGAAACGAGCCAC
rnacentral:rRNA from 1 species